rnacentral:rRNA from 1 species
GCAAGUCGAACGAGAAUCACCUUCGGGUGAGGAAAGUGGCGCACGGGUGAGUAACGCGUGGGUAAUCUGCCCUUUGGUUGGGGAUAACAGCUUGAAAAGGCUGCUAAUACCGAAUAAGUCAAUCAGCCCUGCGGGGAAGAUUGGGAAAGGCUUCGGCCGCCGAUGGAUGAGCCCGCGUAUCAUUAGGUAGUUGGUGAGGUAAUGGCUCACCAAGCCCGAGAUGAUUAGCUGGUCUGAGAGGAUGAUC